rnacentral:rRNA from 1 species
CAGCAGUAGGGAAUCUUCCGCAAUGGACGAAAGUCUGACGGAGCAACGCCGCGUGAGUGAUGAAGGCUUUCGGGUCGUAAAACUCUGUUGUUAGGGAAGAACAAGUACGAGAGUAACUGCUUGUACCUUGACGGUACCUAACCAGAAAGCCACGGCUAACUACGUGCCAGCAGCCGCGGUAAUACGUAGGUGGCAAGCGUUAUCCGGAAUUAUUGGGCGUAAAGCGCGCGCAGGCGGUUUCUUAAGUCUGAUGUGAAAGCCCACGGCUCAACCGUGGAGGGUCAUUGGAAACUGGGGAACUUGAGUGCAGAAGAGAAAAGCGGAAUUCCACGUGUAGCGGUGAAAUGCGUAGAGAUGUGGAGGAACACCAGUGGCGAAGGCGGCUUUUUGGUCUGUAACUGACGCUGAGGCGCGAAAGCGUGGGGAGCAAACAGGAUUAGAUA